rnacentral:rRNA from 1 species
UACGUAGGUGGCAAGCGUUUGUUCGGAAUUACUGGGCGUAAAGGGCGCGUAGGCGCCUUCUAAGUCGAACGUGAAAUCCCCCGGGCUCAACCCGGGAACUGCGUCCGAUACUGGAAGGCUUGAAUCCGGGAGAGGGAUGCGGAAUUCCAGGUGUAGCGGUGAAAUGCGUAGAUAUCUGGAGGAACACCGGUGGCGAAGGCGGCAUCCUGGACCGGCAUUGACGCUGAGGCGCGAAAGCCAGGGGAGCAAACGGG